AUGGAGGACCUCGCCACCGCACCGCCGCCGCGCCACCGGGCGCGGAGGCACCGGAGGAAGGCGUCGGACUCGGCCACGUACGGGGACGUGUUCGGCGGGGGCCCGCGGUUCGCGCCCCCUCUCGCAGGGGCUCCGGCGGACUACGCUGACGUGUUCGGCGGCGUCGCGGCCUCCUGCUCCAUCCCGUACCUCGACCUGCCCCCGGCGGCCGCCGGGAGCGACGGCGGCGCGGGGAGGUACGGCGAGAUCUUCACGCGGGCCGGCUUCGGGGAGUACGCGGCGCCGUGCGAGGACAUGUUCGCGGAGCCGGAGGGAAUGCCGGAGGAGAUCGAGUCCUGGAGCGGGAGCUCGAGAUCAUCAAUCAGAAAAGAAUCUGCUGAAAUGGAUGCUGAGCCAUCUCUACUCUAUCAACACUAUCCAAAUGUGGUCUAUGACCAACAGUUUGAUGAGGAACAGUUUUCUCCAAUCUCCUUUCCUCCAGAUGGUGAACAACAGUUCAACAUGUCAUAUAAUAAGGCAACCAGGGGAAGGCUAGAUGAUCUAGUUGAAAUGACUACUUGCAUGGUGGAGCCUUCAAUAAGUUACGUGGUUGACUCUUGCAAUUUGUCAAAUGAUUCAGCAACGAAUCAUGUUCCAGUAAUGGACAAUGGUGCACUUGCUAAUGGUGAAGAUAAGGAGAUGAGCCCACCACCACUCCCUGCAAGUGGUGAUUCUGUAGCUGAUGAGAAGCAGCAUAUUUCUCCCUGCCUUCCCAUUUAUGAAAAUCAUUAUGAAGAUAAAAAGGAUGACAGGAGGUCUAGCAUUCAUUCAGCAUCAAGUGAGGAAAACAAUGGUGCAACUGCUAAUGAUGAAAAUAAGGAGACUAGCCCACCACAACUCCCUGUAAAUGGUAAUCCUGUAACGGAUGAGAAGCAACAUAUCUCAACCUGUCUUCUCAAUUCUGAAAAUCUCUAUGAAGAUGAAAAGGACCACAAGAGAUCUAGCGCUCAUUCAGCAUCAAGUGAGGAAGUACCUUCCCCAGACUAUCCAUUCUUAAGGAUGUCCAACACCCACAUUCAAACACAGCCCAUCAAUGUACAACCACCAUCAAUCCUACCAUCUAAUUUUCUUAAUAAGAAGGAAAGUAAAUCUAACAGAGAUUCUGAGGGCAAUCCUAACUCUGCUGCUGCUGAUGCUAUAAAGGAAGCAACGGAUGUGAAGCAAAAUAUCUCAACUUGUCUUCUCAAUUCUGAAAAUCUCUAUGAAGAUGAAAAGGACCACAAGAGAUCUAGCACUCAUUCAGCAUCAAGUGAGGAAGUGCCUUCCCCCGACUAUCCAUUCUUAAGGGUGUCCAACACCCAUAUUCAAACACCGCCCAUCAAAGUACAGCCACCAUCAAUCCUACCAUCUAAUUUUCUUAAUAACAAGGAAAGUAAAUCUGACAGAGAUUCUGAGGUCAAUCCUAACUCUGCUGCUGCUGCUGCUAUAAAGGAAGCAAUGAAUUUUGCUGAAGCAAGGUUAAAAGCUGCAAAAGAACUGAUGGAGAGAAAAGGGGACAGUUUUAAACUUCGGAAGAGGCCAGGUCAUCAUAGAGGCACAAAAUCGACAGAAAUCAAGGAAGAUAAGAGUCCUGAAGAGGUGAAUAUAUUUGAAGAGAAGCUGACCUCAAGAAAGUUAGCAGAAGAGGAAAACUAUGAGAAUCUAAGUUUCCUGGAUAAACACAGAGGCAGUAGUGCAGUUAAGAUAGCAGACUGUUAUCAAGACGGAAAAGGGGUUCUAUCUCCAGGGAAGCCUCAGCAGAUAAUACAAAGUGACAGUAAAGUUGAUCAACUAGGCAAGUGGGCAUCAGAUGCUGAAUUCUACGAUCUGGUUAGCCAUCAUCGGAAAUCUACAACUAGCACAGCUGCAUGUGAAGGUGAUAAUGGUCUGACGACAAAUCCCUUCACUAAGCAUGGCCAUUCUGAGAAAGUAAAAGAAGGGGUUAAUGCAGGGGAUUUGGAAAGAGAUGGGAAAUUGUCGGGUUGUAAUGAAAUAACAGAGCUGGGAACGAUACAUGUAAAUCUUACAGCAGAUGAUGCAGCUGCUCUAGGGGUUGAACAUGAGGCUCCUACAGCUCCUGAAGGUUCACUAUGGGAGGAAAGGGUGGAAUACCAAGAAACAAACGAUUCUCAUAUCAAAGAACAUGUAGGGCAAAGCAAUUCUCCAAAAGGUCAUGAUGAUGAUGGGAUAUUUGAGGCUUCAUGUAUGAAUGGCAUACCUCCAAAGCUGCAUGUUGUUCCAGAUACAUCCAGUUUGUCUUUGAAGGUUUGUAUACCGGUAGGCCAUGCCAAUGGUAACCAAAAUUGUUCUGAUGCUAGUACUGAAGAAACUCCACCAGUAGGAAAAUAUGACAAAGAAAACAACAAUAAAGAGGGACUUGAGAUUCCAUGUGCUGAUGAGACACUUUGCACUUCCGUAAGGAAUCAAAUAUCAGAUGAACAUCUGGAAAUUCCUAUCAUUGAUGAAAUUGAGACGAGUCAAGCGAAAGUAGCCACAUUAGAAGAGCCUGCAGAAUAUUACGAAGACCAAUGGUCCCCGAAGAUGUCAAAUACAGUUCACAGGGAGGCUAAAACUUAUGAGGAAGACAAGAUGUUCAGUUUUGUUGAUGAAGCAUGCCUGCAAAGUGAACAAGAAAAAAUAACCGAACUACCUUCAGAAACGCUCAUCCAUAAAGAAAUGGAGAGAUUUGGAAUUGAGGAGAAAGAAAGCCUGCAUGAAGAUUCCCAAGAUGAAGAUGUAUACUGGGAUGCGGGAUCUCCUGAAAAGGAAACUAGUGUUACUUCUGAUACCGAUGCUAAUGAAAAUGACGAAGCAGAGGUGCUGAAUGUAUUUGUGGCAGACAGUGACUUGAUGGAAAACAAUGUUAGAACAUGUGCUACUUCUGCCAAACACUCAGAUCAACUCCCAGAAUCUCAGGAGUCAUUAUUGGAACCUCAAGAGUUGGCAAACAAUAUGGAUGUAAUUGAGGAUUUUGUAUCCCAUGGUAACGGAAAAGAAGCAAAAAAUACCUUGUUAGGGAACAGUGAGACGGCACUGGUGGAAAAAACGUUAAACCAUGAUACGGAAGGCCAGACAUCCACGGAAACUGGUGCCACCAGAGGACUAAAUGAUGUAUAUGCAGAAAUAAUUGCAAAGAAUAAUAGGGCGGGUAAUGUACUUCAUUCUGGAGCUGAAGUUAUCACCGAUGAUUACAGUGAUUAUACUACAUGUUCUAAAGAUAUGCAUGCUUCAUUCUCAGAAGCAUGCGCUAGCAUGCAUCACUUGCCUCAGAAUGUUGAAUCUAUUUCUGCUCUGACGUCUGAUGAAAGCAUAUCUUUCCUUGUAAAUCUUGAAGAGAACUGCAUAAAAGCAGAUAGUGGAUAUUCGACAAUAAGAGACACAGCGUUACAAGGGAAAAAGGCAGGCGGCAAAAUUGAAGAAGGAGAUGGCAAAGACAAAAUAUCGAGUGUAAAUUUGAAGGAUCAGCAAUCUUUUGGAGAGGAUAGUGCAUCAAAGUUUGUUCAGAAAUCAAGAAAAGAGACCUCUGAUGCCCAGAGAAUUGAAGGGAGAGAUGAUAUAAGAAAGGCAGAAGGUGAAAUUGAAAAGGAUGUCUCCCUAAGACCAGAUAAAGAUAAAGAAAGGGAAUACAAAUUGGAAAAAGAACAAAGUAAGGAGAAACCAAUUAGAGAACUAGAAGAAGAGAAGGAGAGGGAGAGGGAGCGGGCAAAAGAUAGGCUUGCUGUUCAGAGGGCUACCAGAGAAGCUCAUGAGAGGGCAUUUGCUGAGGCUCGUACAAAGGCUGAAAGAAUAGCAUUAGAAAGGAUUACCUCUUCACGACAAAGGGCGUCUGCAGAAGCACGAGUUAAAGAGAAGGCAAGUGAUGAAGCAGUUGCAGAGAAGGCUUCUAGAGAAGCUAGAAUGAAAGUGGAACGUGCAGCAGUCGAGAGAGCAACUGCAGAAGCUCGAGAGAGGGCAAUUGAAAAGGCAAAGGCUGCUGCAGAUGCUAAGGAGCGAAUAGAAAAGGCCAGAGUCCCAUUCAAAGAUAGUUUUAAGGUUACUAAUCAGGACAAUCAAUUUCAGAAGACAGCUUCUAACGAUCAUGGAAGAAGCACAGAUUCUUGUAAUCAAGCAUCUGAGUUUGAAUCAGCUCUAAGACACAAAGCAAGAUCGGAGAGGCACCAACGGACAGCUGAACGAGCGGAAAAAGCUCUAGCCGAAAAGAAUAUGCGGGACAUGCUGGCUCAGAGGGAGCAAACAGAAAAACACAGAUUGGCUGAAUUCCUUGAUCCUGAAAUCAAGAGAUGGUCAAAUGGAAAGGAAGGAAAUCUGCGAGCAUUGCUCUCUACGUUGCAAUAUAUACUUGGUUCAGACAGUGGCUGGCAGUCAGUUCCCCUCACAGAUCUUAUUACGGCUGCUGCCGUGAAGAAAGCAUACAGGAAGGCAACCCUUUGUGUCCAUCCUGAUAAAUUACAACAAAGGGGUGCUACAAUCAGACAAAAGUACAUCUGUGAGAAGGUGUUUGAUCUUCUUAAGGAAGCUUGGAACAAGUUCAAUUCUGCAGAGCGCUAA
rnacentral:rRNA from 1 species